rnacentral:rRNA from 1 species
GACGAACGCUGGCGGCGUGCCUAAUACAUGCAAGUCGAGCGCUUCUUUCCUCCCGAGUGCUUGCACUCAAUUGGAAAGAGGAGUGGCGGACGGGUGAGUAACACGUGGGUAACCUACCCAUCAGAGGGGGAUAACACUUGGAAACAGGUGCUAAUACCGCAUAACAGUUUAUGCCGCAUGGCAUAAGAGUGAAAGGCGCUUUCGGGUGUCGCUGAUGGAUGGACCCGCGGUGCAUUAGCUAGUUGGUGAGGUAACGGCUCACCAAGGCCACGAUGCAUAGCCGACCUGAGAGGGUGAUCGGCCACACUGGGACUGAGACACGGCCCAGACUCCUACGGGAGGCAGCAGUAGGGAAUCUUCGGCAAUGGACGAAAGUCUGACCGAGCAACGCCGCGUGAGUGAAGAAGGUGUUCGGAUCGUAAAACUCUGUUGUUAGAGAAGAACAAGGACGUUAGUAACUGAACGUCCCCUGACGGUAUCUAACCAGAAAGCCACGGCUAACUACGUG